AUGAACGCUAGCGACAGGCUUAACACAUGCGAGUCGAGGGGCAGCACAGGUAGCAAUACCGGGUGGCGACCGGCGCACGGGUGAGUAACGCGUAUGCAACUUACCUAUCAGAGGGGGAUAACCCGGCGAAAGUCGGACUAAUACCGCAUGAAGCAGGGGCCCCGCAUGGGGAUAUUUGCUAAAGAUUCAUCGCUGAUAGAUAGGCAUGCGUUCCAUUAGGCAGUUGGCGGGGUAACGGCCCACCAAACCGACGAUGGAUAGGGGUUCUGAGAGGAAGGUCCCCCACAUUGGUACUGAGACACGGACCAAACUCCUACGGGAGGCAGCAGUGAGGAAUAUUGGUCAAUGGCCGAGAGGCUGAACCAGCCAAGUCGCGUGAGGGAUGAAGGUUCUAUGGAUCGUAAACCUCUUUUAUAAGGGAAUAAAGUGCGGGACGUGUCCCGUUUUGUAUGUACCUUAUGAAUAAGGAUCGGCUAACUCCGUGCCAGCAGCCGCGGUAAUACGGAGGAUCCGAGCGUUAUCCGGAUUUAUUGGGUUUAAAGGGUGCGUAGGCGGCCUUUUAAGUCCAGCGGUGAAAGUCUGUGGCUCAACCAUAGAAUUGCCGUUGAAACUGGGGGGCUUGAGUAUGUUUGAGGCAGGCGGAAUGCGUGGUGUAGCGGUGAAAUGCAUAGAUAUCCCGCAGAACCCCCGAUUGCGAAGGGCAGCCUGCCCAGCCAUUACUGACGCUGAUGCACAAAAGCCUGGGGAUCAAACAGGAUUUAGAUACCCCUGGUAGGUCCAGGCAGUAAACGAGGAUCACUAGCUGUUUGCGAUACACUGUAAGGGGCACAGCGAAAGCGUUAAGUGAUCCACCUGGGGAGUACGCCGGCAACGGUGAAACUCAAAGGGAAUUGACGGGGGGCCCGCACAAGCGGAGGAACAUGUGGUUUAAUUCGAUGAUACGCGAGGAACCUUACCCGGGUUUGAACGCAUUCGGACCGAGGUGGAAACACCUUUUCUAGCAAUAGCCGUUUGCGAGGUGCUGCAUGGUUGUCGUCAGCUCGUGCCGUGAGGUGUCGGCUUAAGUGCCAUAACGAGCGCAACCCUUGCCACUAGUUACUAACAGGUAAAGCUGAGGACUCUGGUGGGACUGCCAGCGUAAGCUGCGAGGAAGGCGGGGAUGACGUCAAAUCAGCACGGCCCUUACAUCCGGGGCGACACACGUGUUACAAUGGCGUGGACAAAGGGAAGCCACCUGGCGACAGGGAACGAAUCCCCAAACCACGUCUCAGUUCGGAUCGGAGUCUGCAACCCGACUCCGUGAAGCUGGAUUCGCUAGUAAUCGCGCAUCAGCCAUGGCGCGGUGAAUACGUCCCCGGGCCUUGUACACACCGCCCGUCAAGCCAUGGGAGCCGGGGGUACCUGAAGUCCGUAACCGCGAGGAUCGGCCUAGGGUAAAACUGGUGACUGGGGC
rnacentral:rRNA from 1 species